rnacentral:rRNA from 1 species
UACGUAGGGUGCGAGCGUUAAUCGGAAUUACUGGGCGUAAAGCGUGCGUAGGCGGUUCGUUAUGUCUGCUGUGAAAGCCCCGGGCUUAACCUGGGAAUGGCAGUGGAAACUGGCGGGCUUGAGUGUGGCAGAGGGGGGUGGAAUUCCACGUGUAGCGGUGAAAUGCGUAGAGAUGUGGAGGAACACCAAUGGCGAAGGCAGCCUUCUGGGCCAACACUGACGCUCAUGCACGAAAGCGUGGGGAGCAAACAGG